UUAUGUAUGUUAAUCAACAUCUCAAGGCCCUCGCCGUUCCCAGAGUCCCUUAUCUCGCAGCUGCAGCUCUUAUAUCAAUACCCUUAUAUUUUGUCUAGUUUCACUCUUAAAAAAUAACCUGACCUUCGUCUGUGUCACUCCUGACUGGACCUUCAUUGAGAAAGGACUCUCCACACCCCCAAACACACCAUCUCUACAUUAUGAGUGAAUAUCGGUUUUCCUUAUCUGCUUUAAUGGAGGGGCUGGACUUGGAUCCGAACACUUGCCAUCAGCUUGGGCAUCUCACCGCCGACAUCACUACGCUGAUCGAAGUUCUUUCCACCCCCUCUGGGAAUGCAGGGUUCCCCCCACCCCUCAGAUAUAGAAUCUGCCCAGAAAAUGUGUGUGUGGAUGCCUCUACACAGACAGACCCUCUCUCUACCUGCAGUCCAUUCCCCCAACUAUCAGACUGAUGAUGACACGGCCUUCUCUGACCCGGGCUCUGACCUCUCUCCCUCUUUUACACCUGCCAGUCCUGAAUAUUCCUCUCCAUACACAUCAGCUGACAUGUCCCCAGGACGUACCCCGUUUUACCACCCGUUUUCUCAAUAAAAUUACAUACUACUCA